AAAUGUGUGUCAGGAGGAAUAUUUUAUUUAGGCAGAUUUUUCUUUUCAUUCAGAUCUCAGUGAGAUGAGCAGUGACACUGAGGGCUGCAGCCUGCACGCAUGUGGGGUAUUCUUAUGACUGGAUGACUUUAAAAAAGUAUGUUCAAAUCAUGGCCCAUUUUCUUUAACAACCUUACAGUUUUAGAAACUUAUGGCUCACAUUCUUAAGAGUCCAAACAGUACCUCUGUAGAACUGUUCUGACAUAGGAAAUAAAACCACAGACUUCUUUCAUUUGGUAUGUGCUGUUGAAUAAGGAUAUAAGAUCCCAAAGAUGAACAUUUGCCACCUCCUCAUCCCUGCCUCCACCUUCCGUCCCCAGUAGGUUCCUCUUUCAUUGGAUUUAUUCACAUAUUUUGCCUCUUGAAGUUAAUAAGCAUAAUCUUUUCUUUAAGUAAAAUUCAGGAUUUAUUUUGCACUUACUAUGCACUAGGCACAGGUGUAUACUAGGACUGAAUGAGAUACAAGGUCUGUUCGCUGCCCAUGGAGAACUGUAAUCUCUCACUGAAGACCUCAGACACAUGCACAGACUUGAGUAGCGCUGAGGACAGACAGAGGGUUUGGCUGUUGUCAUCAGAUAAUGCUACAUGAAGAAGGUGGGACUUGAAUUGGCCCUGCCAGGUAGAGGGGGCCCAGCUUCCCAGCUGGAGGAGGCAGGUAAUCUGCCUGGUGGGAAGGGGGUGGGCCAAAGAAUGGAAGCAGGGAAGGGCAGGGUUUGGGGCAGCUGCAAAUCCCUGGAUUUCUGUGAAACUUUCUCAUCCGAUCUCCUGCCCACUCUGUCCCUAAGAAAAGUCCCUACUGCCAGCCAAGCCCACGUGAUUCUCUUAGAGACUCAUGAGGCCUUAAUGAGACGCACCACCUACUGUUCAUGAAAAGAAUCAGUGGCAUUUGUGGGUCGAGGAAGGUUCACUUUGAACACAGCCACAUGGACCUGGAAGGGAACCAGCCUGCCAUCACCUUAUUGAAUGUGGACUCCAUAUGAGCAGCAUUUGUAAAGGAUGAAAACCCCAAAUGUUUUUUCCCUCCCUUAAUAAGGUCAGCUCCACUUACGGUCAGAGUGUGAAAGGCAGGCAUUUCCCAUCAACGUUCACGGUCAAUCUUUGGACAGAUACAGGAGCAGGAUGACUUAACGAGGGGCACAAAGGGGCCGAUCACCUGGGCGUACAGGUCACCAGCCCAGUCAGAGCUCUGGGAGACACGUGAGUCCCUUCAUCUGCAAGCAGGGACUUCUGUGUUUAUCCAGCUAGCUCUUCACCCUCGUGUGUUAACCCAAAUUUCUGGAAGUAAUCACAGCCAACCCUCCUUGCUUCUAAUGGGAUGUAGCAGUGACAUGAAACAUGAGGGGAAGAAAAAAAAAGCCGAAGUGUGGAUGACGUUUACGUAAACCACAGACUUACCUUCUUAAUCAUUGCAACACUUUAAUAAUGAAAUUAGCUCACACUUUACUAAACAUUGACUUGUGGCAAGAGAUCUAUUUUGCUUUCAAAAGAGCAGAUAACAUGGUGUCAAGAAAUACUUUUUGAAUUUGGAUCCUGUUACUUUUGCGUUUUCCUUCCAUUCUUCCACAUGCCAGAGACAGUUUGCUGGUGAUGUCUCCAGAAGCACCUGCAGGUGAGGUUUGGAGAGUGAGGACAGGAGGAGAAGUCAGAGCUCGUCAUGUUGGUAAAGAGACGUGAAAGCCAGGAGUCCUGGACAUCCUGUCACAUGCUUGUUUCUGUUUCCAGGAAAGCAGAGUGAACAGGGGCUUUCAGAGCCGAGGCAGGUGAGCGUGACAGGAGGCGGGGUAGCUCAGCAGGUCUGGGGACCGCAAGUGUCUGUCGGGCGCCUGCGGGAGUCUGAGCCCCUCCACGACCUUGGAGUGGCCUUUGCCUCACACAUGUGGCUACUGAGUCACAGAAGGAAAAGCGUUCUGUGAUUGUUACUUGUUUCUCGCUUGACAUGUAAACAUCACUCUAUUUUUUUCUUUUUUGUUGACAAUGUUGUCUUUGUGCAACAAGAAAUGACAGUUAAGUCUUAGGAUGAGAAAGUCACGUUUGGGCAAUGUCUCCUCCCGGCCGUUCUCCUGAGAAACUCCAUCUGCGUGUCACAGCACCUCCACUCUUUACGCCACACAGGUGCCGUGGGUACCUGCUGGUUGAAAGCUCUCUUCCAUGACUGGAUUCUCUUGUCCACAAUAGCAGCGUUGGCGCGUACUGCCCUGUGACUUCUGGCAUUCCCGGUGGAAAGGAAGCAGAGGUGCCAAGUUACAGCAGAGCCUGCUCGGUUCGGCCUUCACCAGUGAAGCAUCACUCACGGUUUCCCUUCCUCCCGUUACCGUUCCUUCCCCUGGUUCCAUCCCCUUUCGUAUCCAGCAGCGUCAGCCAACCUUCCUCUUCUCAUUCUGGGAAAGUAAGUGUAAAGGAAGACGGGACACACAGCAGGUGCUGAGGGGCCAGGGUGGAGGCUCCCCAGGAAGCUUGGCCAAAUGUGUUCCUGAAGCAAGAACUUCCAACCGCUCCCUCCGAUAGGGGUGUGAGGGUAAUCCAACAGCAUAGCACUUGCAUUUUUACCAGGCCUCCCCCCAGAGAUCAAUUAACAAGAUCCCAGGUGAAGCACAUGCAUCCUGAAGUUUCACAAAUACUAUUUUAACUCAGUAGACAGGGGUCUGCAAACUACAUGUCACAGGCCAACUCUAGCCAGUGGCCUAUUUUUGUAAAUCAAGUUCCAGUGGAACUUGGCCAUACUCAUUUGCUUAUGAACUGUUUUCACACCUCCACGGAAAUGCUGAGUAGUUACAUCAGACACCACAUAGCUGCAAAGACUGAAGUAUUUACUCUCUAGCCCUUUACAGAAAAAGUUUUUUGGUCCCUAUACUAGAACUUAAGACUCCUUAAAAGUGAGAAUCUGGCCUUAUUUUGCUUUGUAAGGCACAAAGGCAGCUUGCACAGCAGUUAUGCAGGUGGGCUGACCUGGCAGCUUGCACAGUGGUUAAGCAGGUGGGCUGACCUGGGUGACCAACAUGAUUUGCAUACAGGCUUUGCCACUUCCUUGUAAGUGCCUGUGGGUCCGUCACAGCCCCGCCGAGCCUUCAGUUCCCCAUCUGUUAAAUGGGGAUACGUAAUAGACUCCUCCUUAAGAGGCUGACAUGUGGAUUAAAGAGAAACAUACGGCGCCUUAAGUGGUGCUCUCGGGAGAUGCCAACCGUCAGUCGGCACUCAGUGCUCUCAGAGCGCCAGGGGGCACGUGUUGAAUGUUGGCAGAAAGAUGCUAUAGCAGACAGCGUCUAUCAACACCCAUUUUCUGCUUCUUCCUUGCUAACAUCUAAUUAUUUUAUUAUUUUUAUAUGUAUUUGACCUUUCCGAAAGGUGACCUCAUCUCCAGGGGUAGAUACCAUGGCAAGCCAAUGACUGACUCAGGGGCUGAGUCGUGAGAACAGAGCCUCCUCACCCUCCGAGAAACAUGGAGGAGGUGCCCGUUCCUUCACAGAUGCCACGUCUGGGACGACCCCGGGCACCGCAGAGCAUGAAGGCCGAGGAAACUUAGGCAAAACUCCACCAGGCCAGAUGGACUCCCGAAGAAGCCGGAGGUACUGCACCCAGCGCUGUGGACUUGUCAGAUGAGCCACCUGCACCUCCAGCCACCUGUGGCAGAGGAGAGACGACAGCUGCGAUAAAGGGCUUUUCAUUCAGCGAUCCUAAGAUGCCUGAUGAAAGGGAUCCAGUAGCAAGAAUUCCUGCUCUUGUUUAUGUGAGAGGGUCACCAGAGGGAGGUGGCUGCAGUGACCUGAACAGCUCCUCUGCAAGGGAUCACGUACCUCAAGGCCUCCUUUCCUCACCUCAAGCCACAUACACUUCUGUGACUUUUGCUAAGGUGACUGAUGUAUAUGAGGGUCUCAUCACAGGGAUUUGUGGAGAAGGGCAAGGUCUUGCAAACUGAAAUUUCUGAGGAGCCAGAACAAGACACAGUCCACUAGAAUUAGUUCUAGGUCAGCUGCUUAUUCAUAUAUGCACAUAAUAAGCUAGUCUGUCCUUAUUUCUGUUCUCUGGCACCAAUAAUGCCUGUGGCUCAAACUCUUCAAAGCUCUCUCAGCAUCCACAGAAUCCUCUGAGACUGGGCAUAUCACACACCAGCAACUCCAGGCACCUCAGACAUAUACCGUGUCUCACAGGGCAGGAGUCUGAUGGCUCUGAAUUAACAUGCAUCCAUCUGAGGGGGGAGGACUUCACGCUGCACUGUGGCAAGGACACCCUCCUUGUUCCCUUCCAUGGUGAGUUAGCAUCUCAUGUACAUGUGCUGGGUGCAAAAAAAUUUAGCAUGUGGCAAAAUGUGAAUUUACAAAUUUGUACAAAUCUGUAAGACUACAACUUAUCAAACUCUAACUAGGAAUGCUGGGAAGAAAAUCAAAGUAUAAAAAAGUAAAACUAGGCAUCUGAUGAUAAGGGUGAGUCUGUGAAUCAAAUAAAUUUGGGGGAGGGAGCUAAGAAACAGAACUAACUGACAGAGAGAACCGAGCCUGCCCGUGAGGGUCAAGUGCAGAGGAGACGGCACUGGGGAGCACACGAGCCCGAGGCCCAGAAUGGGUGCACAGGAGGCCCUGGAAGUCAGUCCCAGGAACGUAAGAAAUGAAACUUGUGCAAAGUGGCAGAAAUAAAACAAACUCCAUCCAGGUUUACAAAGAGGGACAGACUUGAGACAAUGGCUGUGUUCACUGGGAGCUGCAGAGAGCCACUUCCUUACGUUUCUCCACACCCUGUAGGUGAAGGAGACGCCACACGCUGGGGCCACAGGUGGUCACACAUUCACUGCUUUUCAGGACCCUCCUCUGGCCCAGGCCCUUGCCCCCUUCUCCCAAACAGACAGAGGCUUUCUCCUAGACCUCUGGGCUCAGCCUGUGUGAAGACCAAGCACAGCACAUUUGUUUUUGUGUUUUUCUGCUGGAGAAGCUCCUAUAGAGCUUCAUAGAGAACACAAAACAAUGAACAUUCCAGGACAUUCCAAUCUGGAAAAGAAAAAAAAUGACAAAGCCUAAGCCUGGAACAUCACCAUGGCUCUGCCUCUGCCCGCACACAUCAUGAUCUCUAAAGUCCAAGUUGUGCUUUAUUACCACACACGGCGCCUUUCUGAAAUGGCCGGAUUCAGGGAUUUGGUUUAAUUUGCCUUGCCUGACACCUGGAUAGAACCAAAUGCCAACAGAUCUCAUUAACGCUGCAGACGGGGGCUUCCUCGUCCAAUGGUCUCUUCUCUUCAUCCAGCUCCACUUCCUCUUCCUUUCACUCUAUUAUCCUUCUCUAAAGUAGCUCGGCACAGACCACCAUUUCUUCAUCUGAUGCUAUUCCCGCCUUUAGUCCUGCUCAGCUUAUUUGGAAACUGAGCUAGAGCAAGGACGACAAAGAGAGGAGGCAGAGGGGAGUCCACAGAGGCACCGAGCCCCCAGCGCGCCUCCCUCCCUCCCUUCACCCCUCUCUCCCACAUGGCGUCUUUCUGUUCUGAACACAGGAGUGGGAAGUUUCAAGAGGGAACCUCUACAGCUCUCUGUGAGCCAAUGGAACAGAAUUUAUGUGACAGAAGCCCAGUAAAUUAUAGGAGCUUCUCCAGCACCAGUUUUUGGAAUCUGCUGGUACCACUUAUUACCAGGCUAUCAGAAAUCUAAAGUUUCAAGAAUACACACACACAUAUUCUUCCCACCAUUCAUUACAAAUUACUUACAAUAAAUCAUUUACUACCUACAAAUGCUACUGUUUAUGUAACACAAGGAGCAUGAGGUAAAUAUGCUAAAAUAAAAAUAGUACUUAAUAGCCUCAAAUAACACUGGUUUUAUUUUCCAACACUAUUCCUGUUUGAUUUAGAGACAUCUCCUUCUACCAUCCUGCCUUAAUCCCAAAUAAAAGAAGAAAAAAACCCAACCCAAAUCAGGUCUGUUCUGUUGAGCCACAUCUGAAUGAUUCAGUGUCUUACUAGGGGGCCCAGAAAUAGCCAAUAAACUGCAAAACAACAGCCGUGUGUGGCCCUGGAACACUCAAGAGCUUCUCCUAUGCCAGGCAGAGAAGGAGGGUGUGGAGACCAGGGCUUGCACGACACUGGGAUUGCAUGUCUGCUCCAGGUUCAAGGGGACCUGGCCUGAAAUAGCUGCAGACAGAGGGAUGAAGGACCGGCUGAAGAGGAGACAGUGUAACAUGAGGGCUAAGAUGGUACUUCAAGGUUAGGAGAAGGUUGUUUCCCAUUAAAAUAGCAGAAUCAAAUCUCACGAGAAAGGGGAGAAGGCUUUAGAGGCCAUGUCUAAUCCAAUUAGCCAAAUCCUCUUCACUUCUUUUCUAGGACAGCUGCCGAGGCUGAAUGAGGAAGGUUUGAGAAUCAGUAUGGCUUAACGGAGGAGGAAAGAGAGGGGAGGAUAUUGAACUCAUAAAACAGAAAAUAUACAUAAGAGCAAUAAGAAUAUUCUAAACAAAAAGGUCUGGUGUGGUCUAAAUGAAAGAAAACUGCAGGCCCAUUACUUCCCCUUUGGAGCCACUGGGCUGUAACUCUGCAGACAAUCCACAGGCAGUUAACGCUCCAACAUCAUCUUAAAGUACCAGACACAGUUCAAAGGAAGCGGGAGAAGAAGAGCAAGUUAAAGCUUCUAUCAUUCUGCACAGACCUCCCAUAAACUGGAAGUCCUGGCUCAUUUUAUUAUCCCGAGAGCAGGGUUUUCAACCAUGGCACCAUUGACAUUUCAGACUGCUAAGUCUCUGUUGGAGAGGCUGGCCUGUGUGUUGUAAAAUGUUCAGCAGCACCCCUGUCCCUUCUUCUCCCAAGCUAGGUACUAGCUGCGACCAUCAAAAAUGUGCCCAAAAUCCAAAAAGGGGGGUGGGAGACUGCUGGGUUCUUACCCAGCGGGAACAAUGUGGGGGCGCAGGGCAUACUUCCUGGGUGAAGGACUCAACUACAACUCAGAAUUUACCUUACAAAUGCAAACAAUGUGGCCUAAUUCUAUGUACCCUCACAUUCAUCUGAAAAACAAAACAAAACAAAACAAAACAAAACAAACAAAACCCCAAGUGUGUUCAGACAGGGCAGCAUGUCCUGUGAGGACAAAACAGCUCCAGCUGAGAAUCCCUCAUUGCUUCAGGGGGAGGGUCUUCUGUACACAGGGGUAUCAGGCCACUUUCCCGGUGACUUUGUAUCUAGAGGUCCUGGCACAGUAUUUUUCAAACUGUGGGCUGGACAUCACUAGAGGCCAAACAAUGUGUUUUGUUGUUUGUGACAACAUUUAAGAUAGAAAAUAUGAAAGUGCACCUUGUAUUUGGGGACACUUUUGCUUCAUAUGCGUGUGUGUAUACACACAUGUAUGUACAUAUUGGACAUGUUUUUUUGUGUGUACACUCAACGUACAUGUGUGCACGUCUGGGUGCCUGUGUGUGUUCAUGUGCUUACAGUGGGCUGUAAGGUAAAAUGUAUUUCUUAGUGUGGGAUCAAUUUUUUAAAAAGCUUAUAAAACGCUGACAUAGUAUAAAGAAUCAGGAGUUCCAAGAGAAGAGGGUAAAAGCCCGAAGCACAUUUUCAGCUUCUUGGAAGCACUCCCCACCUCUACCAGCUCCAGCACCCUAUAAAAUGUUUGCAAUGGCACAAACCACACAGCACUGGUCCUGGCUUGUCCCUGUGAGUAAUGGCUCCUCCAACCAGCAGCCCCAACACAGAGGGUGGGAGAGAAAGGAGGUCUCGGGGGUGAUAGUGUGGAUUAAGGUGUUCCCAUUAAACAGGUGCUUCUGCCCAUUUCACACCUGGUAAAAGUAACACUCCUCCUCCCUUGGAUUCUCCCCCAGAGCUCCGUCUUCCUGCCACAGCCUCUUAUGUUUACUGACGGUCCCCCCUGGUUAGACGACAGCUUGAGGCUUCUCAGUCCUACAACUAGCCAGAUCCAACUUAGUCAGCUGUGUAUGAGAAAGUUCAACAUUUCUGCCCUGUGACUGUGUAUCUAGGUCACUCUCCUCCUGCCCUGUGGUGGAGAAGAAAGAGGAGGAAAUGAACUUUAAGGGCAAGAAACUUCUUUUCCCCCAAUGACUACUGUGAAAUCUAAAAUGCCUCACAGAGUCUGCACAAUAUCUGCCUUGAUUUUAGCUUUCACAUUUUAAAUCAUGAAUCCAUGUCUCUGCAACAUGUGCUUCAAAGGAAGACUUAACAGUCUCAACACCACCAUGCAAGAAUCUGAGUUCCAUACUUUUAUAUUGAGCCAUAACUGGUUUUCUUUUUGGUCAGUAGUGUACAAGUUAUAGAUAUACAAUUAAUAGGAAGGAAGAAUUAAAAGGGUUCUUAAUCGAGGAAGGAACUUGAGGAAAUCGUCUGUUGAAUGGUAGUGGUUAUUUUUCCAGUAUCACCAAUUCUGUACAUGAAAACACUGAGAACCAAAAAAGAAACACUUGAUAGCAAGUGGAGCAUAAACAGACACCUUGAGAGUUGGAAGGGAACUUCAGAGGUUACCCUCCCAAAGCAGAAGCCCGCUCUGCAAUGUCAUGUCAUGGCCAAGGGUUCUGGCCCGUGAAUCCAAAAACUUGGGCUUUUAUCUUAGUUCUGCCACCCAUUAGCAAUGUGACCUUGGGGAAGUUGCUUAAUCCAUGGAAAGGAUAAUUUUAAUUAACUAGAGAUGCUUCUGAAAUACUGGCAAUCUCAAAUCUGUCACCUUGUUAAUUCUAGUCAUUGGUCCUAGUUCAACCCUCUGGAGUUAAAAGAUAUUAUGUUAAAAUCUCUUUCCCAAAGACAAGACUUUAAACUUUUAAAUUCAUCUAUUAGUUCUUCCCUAAAUUUCUUCCAUAAGCCGACCGUGAAGUUGGGUACUAGCAGGUACUCAGCAGGUGUCUGAUGAAUGAAGGGGAGAAUGAACCCUUCUUCUUCCCGGCUCCAUCCUCUGGGCAUGUGCUGCUGUUAUUCUCUUUUAAAAUGGAGUGCCCAGAUCCAAACAGCCCUGAGAUGUGAGCUGACCAGCGCAGAAUACAGAGGAUUAAUGUGUUCCUUGAUUUAGACACUAUACUUCUAUUAAUACAGCCUAAGAUUGGGUUAGCUUUUUGGCACAAGCAUCAAAGGACUGACUCUUAUUGAGUUUGUAGUCAACAAACUCUAAGUCCACAUAUGUACAUUAAAAUAAACUCAUGUGCCCAUCUGUUAAGCCUACUCCUGCCAUUCUGUAUUUGUGCAAUUUAAAAGAAAAUCUACAUUCUGGUUUAUCAAAUUUAUUUCCACCAAAUUCUGUCUUGUUGGUUUUAGAUCACUAUUCUGACCUUUACAAUUUUUUUUUGAAUCUUAACUUCUGUCACCUAGAGUAUCAAUCAUUCCUUUAAGAUUAGAAUUACUUGAAAAUUUACUGAUGAAAAAACUGAACAGGAUAAGAUCAAUGCUCCAUCACUAGAAAGUUCCCUCCAGAUUUCAUCAGUUUAUGACAUUGAUUAAUACUCUGGGCCUAAAGAUACUCAACCAGCCAUGAAUCACUUAAAAGUACCAGAGUCCGGGCUGCACCUGUCCAUUCUGUCCAUGUGGCUAUUAUGGCAUAAGCGCGUUGAAGUCCAAAUACACUAUAACUACCCCCAAAUGCAGACCAGACGGGGUGCACGCCGGCUGCACCCUACCACUUUCUGGGGCUCCUUGUUUCCCUUCCUGACUGUUCGUAAACACCUAUUUCAUAAUCUGCUUCAGAAAUUUCCAGGGAUAAAUGUCAGGGUAAACAACCUUCAUUAAAAGGAAAGACAUCUGUGCAUCUCUAACCCAUAAGGAGAUAUGACCUUCGGUUUUAAUGUUAAAUAGCAGCCCAUUCUUUUGUUGUUGAGAUAGUAAUGAAUGCUUUUUCCAUUUAACUAGUGAAUAAUGCUACAAAUAAUUUACCUAUAUUUUCUUUGUUCUUCUUGUUUUUGACGUCUGUUUUUCAUUGAAUAUUCACCCCCCACAACUUCAGCUCCUUCUGAGUUUAAGUUUACUGGACCCUGUUUUUGUUAGUUCCAUUACUACUGUUUUAUAUUACUCAGUAUGUGGUAUGUGUCCCUCUUGCUAUUUUUUAACAUAUGUUCAUCUAGAAUCUGAUCUCAUUUAACUACACUGGUCCCAUUUGUUGCUGAUUUCUUUUUCUUCCUCACUGGAAAAAUGUUUUUAAUUUGUUUAUUCAUUUACUCAGAACAUUGGUUGAGCUUCUUGUAAAUACCAAAAGAAAAACAUUGUAAGGUUUUGAGGGUUGGGAUCUUAUAUAAUUCAUUUUAGUGUUUUCUUUAUUACUAUAACAGUGCCAGUUACACAAUAAACCAUCCUAUUGUAAAUAAAUCAAUCCUCCUAUAAAACAAUCAGGAACACUUGCUGGUGUUAAAGUUUUAAGUUCAUCUGUUAUUAUACCACAUAAGAGGAUUAGUUUGAUCUCAUUCUCUGUGAAUUCCAGUACCUCUCAGCCACCUCUGCCUUCCUUUCUCUGGCAGCUCUUUCCACAAUAUCCAGUUGUAACUUUAUCUGAAUUUGUUUCAGCCUUUUCCUCUUCACUGGGUUAACGGGUCUCCUGCUAAACACAUUCUUUUACUAUUCUGAGUUGUGCUCUCUUGUAGUCAGAAGUGAGUUAACCAUGGGAGUUAUCUUAUGCCAUAGCACAGAAAGUUUAAAAAUUUUCCCUUGGUAUUAGCUACACAGUUAGCUGAUAAAUAGUCCAUACUUUUCAUUUUCUUCCAAAGUGGAACUUAACAGAAGAAAAGAUGAAAUAUAAUCUUGGCCUCGAGUUUUCUAUUGAAGAACAGUCUUAAAAUACUAGAGACCCAGUCCAUGCUUCUUUAGGUGUCAUCGAUUUUUACAUGAAUCAAAGUAGAUAAUAAGCUAUUAUUCAGUAAGCAACAACAGAAUUUUAAUCACAACUCAGAUACACUCUUCAGGAAGAUACGUACUGUCCUAUUAGCUAAUGCUUCUCAAGCCACAAGGUAGAAACUAUAUGUAAGUCAUUCUUGAUUUUUCUUCUUCCGACUCCAAACUAACACCACACAAUCAUUUAAACCAGCGGUUCUCAGCCUGUGGGUUGUGACCCCUUUGUAACAUCCGGCAUUAGGAAGGUUGAGAACCACUGGAAGAAGUCACUAAAUCCAGCAGAUUCCUAUCUCCUCAGUAUCUCAUGAAUCUACCACACUUUCCCAUCUCUGCAGCAACAAUCUUAGUCGAGCCCUUUCUCACCUUUCAUCUCUAUAGAAUGCAACUCCUACCUAAUUUAUCCCCCUGGUUUCAACUUUGCCUCCUUCAAUUAAUCCUUCCCAGCACUAUUUAGUGAUAUUUCUAAAUUGUGAAUUUGAUCACGUUGUCACCUGUUUAUGUUUUGUAAAUUGUUUCCUACCAAAAGGAGACAAACGCUAUGCUCUUCACAUGAGCUUCACAGAACUCCGUGUGAUCUGCUCCCAUCGAACCCCUCGCUGUUCCGCAGCCAUCCUUGCACAUCAUCUGUUCCUAAUCACACUCGGCUUCUCCGAGUGCCACACACAUGCUCCACUACUCCGCUGCUCUGCCCUGACUGCUCUGUCCUCUGCUGUCUGUCAUCAGCUCCCCUCACGCUUUAAAUCUCAUGUCUGAUAUCACCUUCUGAGUAACCCUCCCUGGGCCCCUCAUAAUCGAUUACUUAGCCCAUUCUCUGAGUCACAUACAGAAUUCUUUUUAAAUUUUAUACUAGAUCUAUUUAUAUGUUUGUGCCUCUAACUGGAUAUUAAACCUCCUAUGGUAGGAAUUUUGGGUGUUUUUUGUAUUUUGAUGAUUUAAUACAGUGCCUGGUAUAGAGCUCAGAGGUGAACUAAUGCUGUGCACAGGAGACACACAGCUCAGAGUAAGCUCUGCAGAAGGCGCACGUCCAAAUACUUAAGGCAGCAAAAAAUUGUGAGCUAUUAAUUAUUCACGCUUAUGAGGAAGGACAAUGAGAGAUUAAAAAAUAGUGGACAAUACAGAAAUAUUUAGUAUUUGGCAGACUUACUUUCCUAAUAAUCU